AACCGCUUUCGGGCGGGGAUUAGUGGCGAACGGGUGAGUAACACGUGGGCAAUCUGCCCUGCACUCUGGGACAAGCCCUGGAAACGGGGUCUAAUACCGGAUAUGACUGUCCAUCGCAUGGUGGAUGGUGUAAAGCUCCGGCGGUGCAGGAUGAGCCCGCGGCCUAUCAGCUUGUUGGUGAGGUAGUGGCUCACCAAGGCGACGACGGGUAGCCGGCCUGAGAGGGCGACCGGCCACACUGGGACUGAGACACGGCCCAGACUCCUACGGGAGGCAGCAGUGGGGAAUAUUGCACAAUGGGCGAAAGCCUGAUGCAGCGACGCCGCGUGAGGGAUGACGGCCUUCGGGUUGUAAACCUCUUUCAGCAGGGAAGAAGCGAAAGUGACGGUACCUGCAGAAGAAGCGCCGGCUAACUACGUGCCAGCAGCCGCGGUAAUACGUAGGGCGCAAGCGUUGUCCGGAAUUAUUGGGCGUAAAGAGCUCGUAGGCGGCUUGUCACGUCGGUUGUGAAAGCCCGGGGCUUAACCCCGGGUCUGCAGUCGAUACGGGC
rnacentral:rRNA from 1 species